rnacentral:rRNA from 1 species
UACGAGGGGGGCGAGCGUUGUUCGGAAUUAUUGGGCGUAAAGGGCGCGUAGGCGGCCUUGCAAGUGGAAGGUGAAAUCCCUCGGCUUAACCGAGGAACUGCCUUCCAGACUGCUAGGCUUGAGACCGGGAGAGGUGAGUGGAAUUCCCAGUGUAGCGGUGAAAUGCGUAGAUAUUGGGAGGAACACCAGUGGCGAAGGCGGCUCACUGGACCGGUACUGACGCUGAUGCACGAAAGCGUGGGGAGCAAACGGG